UAACUCAGCCGAAAAAUGCCCACAAAAGGCAGGGGGUGGCGGGGAGGAGGAGAAAGAAAAAAAAAAAAAAUCGUUUCCUGUUGCUUUAAUCCCUUUAGUCGGACUUAAGUAACGUCGCCCAGGGCGCGCUAGCCGGGUGCCUGGUUGUGGAGGCCGGCAGCGAGAGGCCGCCGGUGACAGGCCGGCGGCUCGGCCUCGCUCCCCCGGCCGGGAGGCGCCGGGGUCGGGGGGCGGCGCGUCGGGGGCUUCCCGUGGGGGCUGCCCGCCGCCACCUCCGGCCUCUUGCAGCGCCAGCAGCGGAGAGGGGCCGGGCGGCUGUGGGGGAGAGGGGGCGAAGGCUACACACCCAGCAGCAGACCGUCCAUGUCAAAGAUGAGGUAAUUCACUCUUUGUCAUCAAGAUCAUCGGUUACAGGUCGAGACCCUGGUUGCACAAGCAGACGUGAUGGCAGCCACCUCAUGCUCCCAAGGUGCCACACUGACCUGAAGGCCUAUGCUGCUUUGGGACUCUGUGCCAAAGCGGCGGUGGAAAGGAAACCCUCACUUUUCCUGUAGGAAUGAGUUUCUGCUUUAAGAGCAUAAGCUGUUGUGGCAAAAGUUUCUAGAGGGCACCUUGGCAAAGAGGAUAAACAGAUUAUAAUCCAUUUUGGUUUGAAUAUUAAAAAAGAAUCUAGAGACAUGAAUAAAUCCAGUAAUUUAAAAGCUUUCAGAAUGAUUUACAUGAGCAGCUUUUAAAACCGUUAUUACUAACAAAUUACUUGGAAUGACUUGGAGUUAAAUGUUAUUUAAUUCAAGUAUUACCUGAGAUUCAUAACACUUGAUAUAGUUGAGCCUAUAAGCCCUCAGAAAAUGAAACUCCUCCCAGUGCUGGAUGUCACCACACAGGAGCUUUUCACCUUAAGAAUGUGAAUUAAAUUAAUUUUAC